GUUAAGCGACUAAGCGUACACGGUGGAUGCCCUGGCAGUCAGAGGCGAUGAAGGACGUGCUAAUCUGCGAUAAGCGUCGGUGAGGUGAUAUGAACCGUUAUAACCGGCGAUUUCCGAAUGGGGAAACCCAGUGUGUUUCGACACACUAUCAUUAACUGAAUCCAUAGGUUAAUGAGGCGAACCGGGGGAACUGAAACAUCUAAGUACCCCGAGGAAAAGAAAUCAACCGAGAUUCCCCCAGUAGCGGCGAGCGAACGGGGAGGAGCCCAGAGCCUGAAUCAGUGUGUGUGUUAGUGGAAGCGUCUGGAAAGGCGCGCGAUACAGGGUGACAGCCCCGUACACAAAAAUGCACAUGCUGUGAGCUCGAUGAGUAGGGCGGGACACGUGGUAUCCUGUCUGAAUAUGGGGGGACCAUCCUCCAAGGCUAAAUACUCCUGACUGACCGAUAGUGAACCAGUACCGUGAGGGAAAGGCGAAAAGAACCCCGGCGAGGGGAGUGAAAAAGAACCUGAAACCGUGUACGUACAAGCAGUGGGAGCCUCUUAAUGGGGUGACUGCGUACCUUUUGUAUAAUGGGUCAGCGACUUAUAUUCUGUAGCAAGGUUAACCGAAUAGGGGAGCCGAAGGGAAACCGAGUCUUAACUGGGCGUUAAGUUGCAGGGUAUAGACCCGAAACCCGGUGAUCUAGCCAUGGGCAGGUUGAAGGUUGGGUAACACUAACUGGAGGACCGAACCGACUAAUGUUGAAAAAUUAGCGGAUGACUUGUGGCUGGGGGUGAAAGGCCAAUCAAACCGGGAGAUAGCUGGUUCUCCCCGAAAGCUAUUUAGGUAGCGCCUCGUGAAUUCAUCUCCGGGGGUAGAGCACUGUUUCGGCAAGGGGGUCAUCCCGACUUACCAACCCGAUGCAAACUGCGAAUACCGGAGAAUGUUAUCACGGGAGACACACGGCGGGUGCUAACGUCCGUCGUGAAGAGGGAAACAACCCAGACCGCCAGCUAAGGUCCCAAAGUCAUGGUUAAGUGGGAAACGAUGUGGGAAGGCCCAGACAGCCAGGAUGUUGGCUUAGAAGCAGCCAUCAUUUAAAGAAAGCGUAAUAGCUCACUGGUCGAGUCGGCCUGCGCGGAAGAUGUAACGGGGCUAAACCAUGCACCGAAGCUGCGGCAGCGACACUAUGUGUUGUUGGGUAGGGGAGCGUUCUGUAAGCCUGUGAAGGUGUGCUGUGAGGCAUGCUGGAGGUAUCAGAAGUGCGAAUGCUGACAUAAGUAACGAUAAAGCGGGUGAAAAGCCCGCUCGCCGGAAGACCAAGGGUUCCUGUCCAACGUUAAUCGGGGCAGGGUGAGUCGACCCCUAAGGCGAGGCCGAAAGGCGUAGUCGAUGGGAAACAGGUUAAUAUUCCUGUACUUGGUGUUACUGCGAAGGGGGGACGGAGAAGGCUAUGUUGGCCGGGCGACGGUUGUCCCGGUUUAAGCGUGUAGGCUGGUUUUCCAGGCAAAUCCGGAAAACCAAGGCUGAGGCGUGAUGACGAGGCACUACGGUGCUGAAGCGACAAAUGCCCUGCUUCCAGGAAAAGCCUCUAAGCAUCAGGUAACAUCAAAUCGUACCCCAAACCGACACAGGUGGUCAGGUAGAGAAUACCAAGGCGCUUGAGAGAACUCGGGUGAAGGAACUAGGCAAAAUGGUGCCGUAACUUCGGGAGAAGGCACGCUGAUAUGUAGGUGAAGCGACUUGCUCGUGGAGCUGAAAUCAGUCGAAGAUACCAGCUGGCUGCAACUGUUUAUUAAAAACACAGCACUGUGCAAACACGAAAGUGGACGUAUACGGUGUGACGCCUGCCCGGUGCCGGAAGGUUAAUUGAUGGGGUUAGCGGUAACGCGAAGCUCUUGAUCGAAGCCCCGGUAAACGGCGGCCGUAACUAUAACGGUCCUAAGGUAGCGAAAUUCCUUGUCGGGUAAGUUCCGACCUGCACGAAUGGCGUAAUGAUGGCCAGGCUGUCUCCACCCGAGACUCAGUGAAAUUGAACUCGCUGUGAAGAUGCAGUGUACCCGCGGCAAGACGGAAAGACCCCGUGAACCUUUACUAUAGCUUGACACUGAACAUUGAGCCUUGAUGUGUAGGAUAGGUGGGAGGCUUUGAAGUGUGGACGCCAGUCUGCAUGGAGCCGACCUUGAAAUACCACCCUUUAAUGUUUGAUGUUCUAACGUUGGCCCGUAAUCCGGGUUGCGGACAGUGUCUGGUGGGUAGUUUGACUGGGGCGGUCUCCUCCUAAAGAGUAACGGAGGAGCACGAAGGUUGGCUAAUCCUGGUCGGACAUCAGGAGGUUAGUGCAAUGGCAUAAGCCAGCUUGACUGCGAGCGUGACGGCGCGAGCAGGUGCGAAAGCAGGUCAUAGUGAUCCGGUGGUUCUGAAUGGAAGGGCCAUCGCUCAACGGAUAAAAGGUACUCCGGGGAUAACAGGCUGAUACCGCCCAAGAGUUCAUAUCGACGGCGGUGUUUGGCACCUCGAUGUCGGCUCAUCACAUCCUGGGGCUGAAGUAGGUCCCAAGGGUAUGGCUGUUCGCCAUUUAAAGUGGUACGCGAGCUGGGUUUAGAACGUCGUGAGACAGUUCGGUCCCUAUCUGCCGUGGGCGCUGGAGAACUGAGGGGGGCUGCUCCUAGUACGAGAGGACCGGAGUGGACGCAUCACUGGUGUUCGGGUUGUCAUGCCAAUGGCACUGCCCGGUAGCUAAAUGCGGAAGAGAUAAGUGCUGAAAGCAUCUAAGCACGAAACUUGCCCCGAGAUGAGUUCUCCCUGAGACUUAGAGUCUCCUGAAGGAACGUUGAAGACGACGACGUUGAUAGGCCGGGUGUGUAAGCGCAGCGAUGCGUUGAGCUAACCGGUACUAAUGAACCGUGAGGCUUAACCUU
rnacentral:rRNA from 1 species